AAGUCGUAACAAGGUUUUCGUAGGUGAACCUGCGAAAGGAUCAUUAGUGAAACAUAAGAGUGCGCUUCAUUGCGGCUCGUUUUAACUAUCCAUAACACUUGUGAAUUCGGAUUUAUAUAUAACACCCUUACCUUUUAAAAGGCUUCGGUCUUGAUGGGUAUUGGUUAUUUGUUUGACCCUGUUGCCUUUUGACGUUGAGGACGGACAUGUUGAAAUUUGAAAAUUGAUAAAACAA
rnacentral:misc_RNA from 1 species